GACAGUUUGGCCGAGUGGUCGAAGGCGCUGGCUUCAAGCGCUAGUCUAAAAGGGCGCGAGUUCGGGUCUCGCAGCUGUUA